rnacentral:misc_RNA from 1 species
GGUACACACAUAAGUUUGUAAAGGAAAAAAAAGCGUUCUCUACAUUGUGGAUAUGUUAAUUAACACUCCUCGUGGAUUUUGAUCAUACAAGUCUUGUGUUGUACGAGCCACAAGAGGAGCACUUGUGAUAGAGCCAGUGGAAGGAAGCUGUUCCUCUCUUUUCACAGUCAUUGCAUAGUAUAGCCUGAGUCUGGCCAGCAUACUCCUCAGGAAUUUUC